GAUGAGUUGCGAACGGGUGAGUAACGCGUAGGUAACCUGCCUGGUAGCGGGGGAUAACUAUUGGAAACGAUAGCUAAUACCGCAUAAGAGUAGAUGUUGCAUGACAUUUGCUUAAAAGGUGCAAUUGCAUCACUACCAGAUGGACCUGCGUUGUAUUAGCUAGUUGGUGGGGUAACGGCUCACCAAGGCGACGAUACAUAGCCGACCUGAGAGGGUGAUCG
rnacentral:rRNA from 1 species